rnacentral:rRNA from 1 species
UACGGAGGGUGCAAACGUUGCUCGGAAUUAUUGGGCGUAAAGCGCACGUAGGCGGAUAUUUAAGUCAGGGGUGAAAUCCCAGAGCUCAACUCUGGAACUGCCUUUGAUACUGGGUAUCUCGAGUAUGGAAGAGGUGAGUGGAAUUCCGAGUGUAGAGGUGAAAUUCGUAGAUAUUCGGAGGAACACCAGUGGCGAAGGCGGCUCACUGGUCCAUUACUGACGCUGAGGUGCGAAAGCGUGGGGAGCAAACAGG